UUUCCGUAGGUGAACCUGCGGAAGGAUCAUUACAGAGUUCAUGCCCUUACGGGUAGAUCUCCCACCCUUGAAUAUACUACCUUUGUUGCUUUGGCGGGCCGCUUCGUCCACCGGCUUCGGCUGGUGAGUGCCCGCCAGAGGACCCUAAACUCUGAAUUAUAGUGUCGUCUGAGUACUAUACAAUAGUUAAAACUUUCAACAACGGAUCUCUUGGUUCUG
rnacentral:misc_RNA from 1 species